UAAUUAUUUUCCUCUCUCCUCUCAAUAGGCUCCAGUCUUGAUACACUAACAGUACUUGGUUCUCAUAAAGGUGACCUCAUUCUCCUAGCUAAUGACAGUUCUUUAAUACACCUCACUCUUCAUUCCUCCUCAUCUCAGCAAUAAUCUCUGGCUCUCUCUUCAGUCUUCAGUAUAGAGCCAAACAUGGAGUCCUUCCAGUAUGAUGAUACUCUUCCACAAUAUGUCGGGAAGUUGAACGACGUCCUUUUUAAAUGGCCACUGCUGUUCACUCUCACUGAGGACAGGAUUGUGUUGGUCUACAGUGUCUCUAAUGCUAUGAUCAUUGCUGCCAUUCAUCCACUGGAAUACUGUAGAAUGUUUAGCUAUAACACUCCAGAUGGUCCCUCUCUCUUACAAACUCUAUCUUUGUCAUUAUUUCAUAAAAUCUGGGUCUCUCCUGAUCUAGGAGUGUCUCUUAAUUCAUUGGAUCAAUGUUCCCUCCCACUCAAUGUACUGGAGACUGGAACUGAGACAUAGUGUCAUUCUUCCUUAGGAAUAGAGAAAUAUGUGCUGUGUCACGUCAUCAUGUUCAAA
rnacentral:lncRNA from 1 species